CCCCCCCCCCCCCCCCCCCCCCCCCCCCCCCCCCCCCCCCCCCCCCCCCCCCCCCCCCCCCCCCCCCCCCCCCCCCCCCCCCCCCCCCCCCCCCCCCCCCCCCCCCCCCCCGGGGGCCCUGCCAGAGCCAUGCGGCCGAGCCGGGGCCGGGCCAGGGGCUCCCCGCAGAGCUGGUGCCGGGCCGAACGCCAGCGAGCCCGGACCGGGCCGGGGCCCCGGCCAGAGAGCACCGCACCUCCAGAGGCCGGAAGCAGAAAGACGAAAACACUGCAGAGCUCCCAGACUGCAGCAACGACAGCACAGUGGAGAGGAAGUUACUUGCACUUGCUCACCUGGACAAGCUUAGUUCUGCCCUUUUGCAAGUACUGACUGCCUUUAAGAGGCAUUCAUCUCCCUCUUGUCCAUCAAGCUUCCCUCUUCCUGGAGAGCAUGAGCUUCCUUCCAGCAAUUUAACCCCGAGUUCAAAUACCAGAGCAACUCAUGUCAAGAGAGUUUGUUCCCUCCAGGCUCAGAUCAGCUCCUCAGCUUGA
rnacentral:lncRNA from 1 species